rnacentral:rRNA from 2 species
UAAGGAAUAUUGGACAAUGGACGCAAGUCUGAUCCAGCCAUGCCGCGUGAAGGAUUAAGGUCCUCUGGAUUGUAAACUUCUUUUAUAAGGGACGAAAAAAGGUCUUUCUAGAUCGUCUGACGGUACCUUAUGAAUAAGCACCGGCUAACUCCGUGCCAGCAGCCGCGGUAAUACGGAGGGUGCAAGCGUUAUCCGGAUUCACUGGGUUUAAAGGGUGCGUAGGCGGGCAGGUAAGUCAGUGGUGAAAUCCUAGAGCUCAACUCUAGAACUGCCAUUGAUACUAUCUGUCUUGAAUAUUGUGGAGGUAAGCGGAAUAUGUCAUGUAGCGGUGAAAUGCUUAGAUAUGACAUAGAACACCUAUUGCGAAGGCAGCUUACUACGCAUAUAUUGACGCUGAGGCACGAAAGCGUGGGGAUCAAACA